rfam:Salmo salar isolate Sally breed double haploid chromosome ssa06, whole genome shotgun sequence.
UGCAUUCUCUACUGUAAGUCGCUCUGGAUAAGAGAGUCUGCUAAAUGACUAAAA